UAGAAUUCAGCACAAUAAAUACAAAGAUGGGGAAAGAGUGAUACACGUUCUUUGAAAAUAGGAAAUUUGUAAUGUGCUGGAGCACAGAGGCUGCAGUUUGUGAAUGUUCUGAAUGAGGAAAUUGAUUCACACAGUCUCUUUUUCUCAUAUCCAAUCAUGUCACUGACACUUGGCCAUUUUUCAGGAUGUGAAAAGGAAUCUCUCCGUGAUUAAGUGCAUUCCCUUUGAAAUCACUGUACAGCAGAAAAGAAAAAUUCACGAGAGCUGCAGUGCCUACAAAAGUGUACAUAUCUAAUGCAAACACGUCAUCAACUACAACCACAUAACUUUAAAUGGCUCAAAAGGAGCAAAGAGUCUCGAGCUGGAAUGCCCGUCACUGGCCUGCCUCUCAGCCUUGGUUACAACCUCACAAAGCUCCUGACCUUCCCCACCAGGACAUUUCUCAUCUACUCUGAAAAUGUGUUGUUUGGAUAAAAUAUGGACUUCAAAAAUCUAAAUGUCAAAUGAAAACAAAAAUAAUGUGAGAGGAAGAGAAAACCCAUGUAAUGAACAUCCAAAUUCACAUAACUACUGUGACUAAGGAUUCAACAUUUGCUCUGAGCUUCAUAGCAGCCAAAAGAAAAACUGGCAUUUUUCAUUUUACUUUAUUAUCUGUUACUAAACAGUGACUAAAAGGAUAAUGUACAUUGACAUUGAACAAAAGCAUAAUAAAAUGACUUUUAAUUGUAUGCUGGUUACGUAU
rnacentral:lncRNA from 13 species